AUUGAACGCUGGCGGCAGGCCUAACACAUGCAAGUCGAGCGGAGCGGCGGACGGGUGAGUAAUGCCUAGGAAUCUGCCUGGUAGUGGUGGAUAACGUCCGGAAACGGGCGCUAAUACCGCAUACUAUCAGAUGAGCCUAGGUCGGAUUAGCUAGUUGGUGGGGUAACGGCUUACCAAGGCGACGAUCCGUAACUGGUCUGCGAGGAUUAUCAGUCACACUGGAACUGGAACACGGUCCGGACUCAUACGGGAGCAGGCAGUGGGGAAUAUUGGACAAUGGGCGAAAGCCUGAUCCAGCCAUGCCGCGUGUGUGAAGAAGGUCUUCGGAUUGUAAAGCACGUAAAGUUGGGAGGCGUUACCAACAGAAUAAGCAACGGCUAACUUCGUGCCAGCAGCCGCGGUAAUUC
rnacentral:rRNA from 1 species